CUAAAUGCAAGUCGAACGGUAGCACAGAGAGCUUGCUCUCGGGUGACGAGUGNCGGACGGGUGAGUAAUGUCUGGGAAACUGCCUGAUGGAGGGGGAUAACUACUGGAAACGAGUAGCUAAUACCGCAUAACGUCGCAAGACCAAAGAGGGGGACCUUCGGGCCUCUUGCCAUCAGAUGUGCCCAGAUGGGAUUAGCUAGUAGGUGGGGUAACGGCUCACCUAGGCGACGAUCCCUAGCUGGUCUGAGAGGAUGACCAGCCACACUGGAACUGAGACACGGUCCAGACUCCUACGGGAGGCAGCAGUGGGGAAUAUUGCACAAUGGGCGCAAGCCUGAUGCAGCCAUGCCGCGUGUAUGAAGAAGGCCUUCGGGUUGUAAAGUACUUUCAGCGGGGAGGAAGGUGUUGUGGUUAAUAACCGCAGCAAUUGACGUUACCCGCAGAAGAAGCACCGGCUAACUCCGUGCCAGCAGCCGCGGUAAUACGGAGGGUGCAAGCGUUAAUCGGAAUUACUGGGCGUAAAGCGCACGCAGGCGGUCUGUCAAGUCGGAUGUGAAAUCCCCGGGCUCAACCUGGGAACUGCAUUCGAAACUGGCAGGCUAGAGUCUUGUAGAGGGGGGUAGAAUUCCAGGUGUAGCGG
rnacentral:rRNA from 1 species